AACACUCUACUGACGCUCAUGCACGAAAGCGUGGGUAUCGAACAGGAUUAGAUACCCUGGUAGUCCACGCAGUAAACGAUGAUUACUAAUUGUGUGCCUCGAUUGAGAGGUGCGUGAUACAGCGAAAGCGUUAAGUAAUCCACCUGGGGAGUACGCCGGCAACGGUGAAACUCAAAGGAAUUGACGGGGGCCCGCACAAGCGGAGGAACAUGUGGUUUAAUUCGAUGAUACGCGAGGAACCUUACCCGGGCUCAAACGUUGGCGGUCGAUGCGUGAAAGCGCGUUUCCCUUCGGGGCCACCAACGAGGUGCUGCAUGGUUGUCGUCAGCUCGUGCCGUGAGGUGUCGGCUUAAGUGCCAUAACGAGCGCAACCCCCAUUCUCAGUUGCCAUCGGGUAAAGCCGGGCACUCUGUGAAGACUGCCAGCGCAAGCUGUGAGGAGGGCGGGGAUGACGUCAAAUCAGCACGGCCCUUACGUCCGGGGCGACACACGUGUUACAAUGGCGUGCACAGAGGGAAGCUACCUGGCGACAGGACGCGGAUCCUAUAAAGCACGUCUCAGUUCGGAUCGGAGUCUGCAACUCGACUCCGUGAAGCUGGAU
rnacentral:rRNA from 1 species